rnacentral:pre_miRNA from 1 species
GAUUUCAAAUGGAAAAGCCAUAAACAGCAAAGUUGUACAACUUAUCAAGAUCUACAACUUUUAUGUUGGUCACUUCUUUAUCCGACAAAGUGAUAGUACCAAUGUUUACAAAAUUGACAUAUCUGUGUUGUGUUGAUGUUUAUAAACCAGAUGAGAGAAAUGUGAUUUUUGUGAAUAAUAUAACUAUCACUUUGUCGGAUGAAGAAGNAACCAAAAUAAAAGUUGUAGAUCUUGAUAAGUUGUACAACUUUGCUGUUUAUGGCUUUUCCAUUUGAAAUC